rnacentral:lncRNA from 1 species
CGAUGAGACAUUCAUCCUCACGCGAGGCACAGUUCAAGAAGUAGCACGCGAUAUUGUGCACAAACAGAAAGAAGACGACUCAUUUUUUGUCUGUGACGUCAGAGACAUUGUUCGGAAGGUGGAGCUCUGGCGCCAGCACCUACCACGCAUCAUGCCUUUUUACGCCAUCAAAACAUGUGGAGACCCCGUUCUAAUUGCUGUGCUAGCUUCCCUUGGAGUGAAUUUUGAUUGCUCAAACAUG